AGCUUUCAACAGUAUCACAUUCGCCUCUUCAAGUUGAUGAUCCGAAAGAGGAGGAGAAGGAACUUUUCUAAUAAUUAAUAAGCAGUCCGCAAUCUAAAGAUACAGGUAGCUAUAACACAACACUUUCUGGGUGGUCUUCAGAGCCCAAUAUCAUAGCUGCCAACGACUACAAUAUUGCAAAGGAUGAACUCAAAAAAUUCUGCAAAUUCUUAUUAGCUGCGUCAUCCACCUGAUCUUUCUCUGUUGCUCGGAUCAACUGAUUUCUCUAUACUGCUCUUUGUUGAUACUCCAUCAUUAAUACCAUGAAGCAACGAAGCUGCAUAUAUAGUAGCACAUUAGUAAAAGGAUUCAGCUAAAUUUGACAGAUGAAUUAAGUAAGAUAAAUACUUCAUCUAUCUAUCAAGUUGCUUCGUUUCAUCAGCGAACACAAAGAAGGUGAACACUAAACUAUUAUUCAUUGUGACUUCUUUCCUUAUAGAAUGUACACAAAUCUUGAUGUUUUAUUUGAUUGUUUAUAGGUCUUGAAGAACACCACACAUCUAAGGUAUCUUCAC
rnacentral:lncRNA from 1 species